UACAGAGGGUGCGAGCGUUAAUCGGAAUUACUGGGCGUAAAGCGUGCGUAGACGGUAGCGUAAGUCAGAUGUGAAAGCCCCGAGCUCAACUUGGGAAUGGCAUUGGAAACUGGCGGGCUGGAGUGUGGCAGAGGGGGGUGGAAUUCCACGUGUAGCAGUGAAAUGCGUAGAGAUGCGGAGGAACACCGAUGGCGAAGGCAGCCCCCUGGGCCAACACUGACGCUCAGGCACGAAAGCGUGGGGAGCAAACAGG
rnacentral:rRNA from 1 species